CACGUAGGGUGCGAGCGUUGUCCGGAUUUAUUGGGCGUAAAGAGCUCGUAGGCGGCUUGUCGCGUCGACUGUGAAAACCUGCGGCUCAACCGUAUGGUCUGCAGUCGAUACGGGCAGGCUAGAGUUCGGUAGGGGAGACUGGAAUUCCUGGUGUAGCGGUGAAAUGCGUAGAUAUUGGGAGGAACACCGGUGGCGAAGGCGGCUACCUGGACCGGUACUGACGCUGAGGCGCGAAAGCUAGGGUAGCAAACAGG
rnacentral:rRNA from 1 species